AUGUCAAUUAACAAGCUACUCAUUUACUAUGGCAGACCCAAUUUUUCAAUUUUAGUUAAUUACCUCUUUCGAGCGAAAUUAACCCUAAUUGAUUGGUUUAACCUACUAUGUCUCUAUGUCGAUUAAAAUCAAACAACCGUGCCUCCCAGGGCACAUUCCAAUUGGCAAAGAUGAUGACGCUUCAAAACUAGCAGAUCAGAGGUCGUGAGUUCGAUCACUGGAAGGCUCUUAAAAGACAGAUAUUCUACUGGAAGGCAUGAUUUAUCCUAGAAGACAGGAACUCUACUGGAAGGCAAGGUGUAAAGAUGGGAAACGACUUGCUUGACACUUUGACAGAUCAAUUGAGAGCUCUUGAGCACUGGUCAAUUUGGGAUACAACCUGCGGUUUAACCUGUCUGCAGCUUGAGGGGUCAAGGUGUAGACUACAAGAUUUAGUCACUGUAAGGUGGAUACCUGGAUAUCAAAAAAUAAAUAAAAAAUCAAACAACCGCAUUAAAUAUUUGUGAAAAUAAUUCAAUGGGUCACCUAGGGAUAGAGAUAUCCCCUACACAAACCUAAAGUGUCUACUAUUUGGUCUAAAAUGUACAAUAUUCUCUCAAAAACGAUGUACAAAUCACUCAACACAAUUAUUCAUUGGACACAUAAAUAAAAAUACAAUAAAUACAAUAAUAGAAAAUAAGCAAAUUAAUAUCAAGGGGCAAAUGUUGAAAUUAAUUAAAGCUAAAUUCAGUUACUACCAUAUAUCUCAACACAAUAAUUUAGUUCAUAUUGUAUAAAUGAAUAAAAGGAGAAUAUUUUGCACAAUACAUUGUAAAUAUGGCAAAAUAGUUGAAAAAAUACAAAGUUAAAGAUAGUACCUUUUGAAGAUUGGCUAUGACUUUCCCAAAUAUUUUUUCACCUUAGAUGUGUUCUUCUUGCUCUAUGAUUUACUCCAAAAUACUAAGAAAGAUAAAAUAGCAAAAUGAAAAGAAAAGAAAAGAAAAGAAAAUGAAAAGAAAGAAGAAAAUCAGACGGAACAGAAGCCGGC
rnacentral:lncRNA from 1 species